UAAUGUACUCUUUCUUCGGAACACCGGUGACAGGUGGUGCAUGGUUGUCGUCAGCUCGUGUCGUGAGAUGUUGGGUUAAGUCCCGCAACGAGCGCAACCCCUGUCCUUAGUAGCCAGCAGUUCGGCUGGGCACUCUAGGGAGACUGCCAGGGAUAACCUGGAGGAAGGCGGGGAUGACGUCAAAUCAUCAUGCCCCUUAUGACUUGGGCUACACACGUGCUACAAUGGCGUAAACAAAGGGAAGCGAAAAGGUGACUUCUAGCAAAUCCCAAAAAUAACGUCCCAGUUCGGACUGUAGUCUGCAACUCGACUACACGAAGCUGGAAUCGCUAGUAAUCGCGAAUCAGAAUGUCGCGGUGAAUACGUUCCCGGGUCUUGUACACACCGA
rnacentral:rRNA from 1 species